UUACAUCAAAAAUAGUUUUGAGUGCCAAGGAAAAAAAAAACUUUGAACGGAGAAAGAAAAUAAAUAAAAGAAAGAAAACCUUCCACGACUCUUCUCCUCCAUAGCCUCUCGUCUCCAUCGAGUUUUUCUCCGUCUGUUAAUAAAAAAAAAAAAUUCCGACGAAUACUGAUAGUGAAACUUUCUCUCACUAUAUUCGCAAAGAAGACACCAUCAUUGAAUCGAAUUCAGAUCACACAAUUCGCCAUAGAUAACUCAACUACAGAUCUGUUAUCUCGAUCGGAAACCGCCGUAACUCGACAUCCUCUCUUUCGAUCUGAUUCCAUAACCGUGAAGCCUCUCCCGAAUCUCUCGUUCCAGCGUCUUUAUCCUCCUACAAAGCUAAUGUUCAGUCCUCUUCUCUCCGUCGUCCUUCAUCCGGAGAUCUACUCACUUCUUCCGGCGAUUUCCUCCGUCUCUGGGAUAUUAACCAAGAUUCUUCCACAGUUGAGCCUAUCUCGGUUCUCAACAACAGGAAAAUGAGUUUUUCCAUUGAGCGAUGGGCAAUAGUGAAGAGAUCCUUUUCAUGAUGUAAAGAGCAAAGAAGAGACAAGUAAACCCCUUUAUGAUUCACUCCUUUCAGAACCUCCUGAUUUAAGUAUUUGGUUUUCAAGCUAUGUCUAUGAAUCACCGAUGCUGGAUGGUUUUUGUGAAGAAAGGGUCUAAGAAGAAGCGUUUUGCUGCUGUAAUUCUGCGUAUUUGAGAGCUUGGAUUUGGGAUGAUGAUGGAUUCUGGAGAACAUAAGCUUGAAGAAGUAGUUGUCCCGUUUAAAGGGAAGAGCUGUAAGAAGAUACGUAAAACUCUUAUGUUUAUUUUGUUACAACAUAUCCCAGAGAUUUGUGGAGCACGCCUCUGCUAGAGCUUCUCUAUAAGCUUGAAGAAGCAGUCUGGUCUUCUUACUUCUUUUGCUUACCCUUUGUAGGGAGGCUUGGGCGAGGUUGUUCUAUGUUUCUGCCGCUUUUAUAUGUUGUAGAACAAGUGAUGUUAUCGAGCCUAUGAUAAUGCCCCGGUGGUAUGUUAAUGGCAACAUGAUUGGGAAGGAAGCUCUUGGUGUUGCCACCACUGAUGAAAAAAAGAAGCCCGAGUUUAUACCAAAGCAAUACACAGCAGAAUGGUGAAGCAACAUGUCCUAUUGAGGAUGCAACAGGUCCAGGCUCUCCAACUAAGAAAACUCUACCGCAUUCACCGGAAUCUCAGCGUAUCAAUGAAGUCAAGAAGUGCAGACUGAUGGAUAUUACCGGAAAGAAGCUGGUUGUUGCUGAAGGACGAUGGGCAACAAACGAUCCAAACCAAAAGGUUCACUUUCGUUUGGGUUCUAAUGCAGUUAAAGUGUGGGUAGAUAUUGUCAAGGUAAGCGAUGCAGCAGUUUGGAAGCCAUCAGAAGAAAUCGAGAUGAUGGAAGAUGCCCUUGGCACAGUCAUUGCAUAGCCAGAGGACAAAGUGAUCAUCAUGUCUUAAAUUAACCAUGAGGUUUACUGACUCCUACUUUAGACUUACAAUCUAUCUUAUGGAUUUGCUUUUUAUCUUCAGACUUGUCUUGUUCCUUAUGGAUUUUAAACUUUGUGUUAUGUACUAUGUAUUAUGUUUGAUUGUGAAAUGGUGAAUUAGGGAUUUAAUAUUAAUACAGGUUCCGGAUCAA